ensembl:rRNA 5S_rRNA 5S ribosomal RNA
GUGUAUGGUCAUACCAUGCCGAUCGUGUCUGGUCUCAGAAGCUAAGCAGUGUUGGGCCCGGUUAGUUCUUGGAUAGGAGGAUGAUAAAAUUUUGGCAGAAGACACC